rnacentral:ncRNA from 2 species
UAGUUAUCAAGAAAGGUGGAGGGACUAGACCCUGUGAAGCCUUGGCAACCCUUUUAGAAGUAGGUUUACUCCAAAAGAAGGUGCUAAGUUCUAUUCAAAAUUAGAUUCAUUUUUGAAAUAGAUAACAA